CCCAAAAAAAUAAUUUUUAUGCCCCCGGUAGGGUGGCAUAUAGCAGUUGAACUGUCCGUCAGUAUGUCAGUCAGUCUGUUCGUCCGUCCGAAAAAAACUUUAACAUUGGCCAUAACUUUUUCACUUUUGAAGAUAGCAACUUGAUAUUUGGUAUGCAUGUGUAUCUCAUGAAGCUGCACAUUUUGAGUGGUGAAAGGUCAAGGUCAUCCUUCAAGGUCAAAUGUCAAAUAAAUGGUGUCUGUCCGUCCAAAAACUUUAACAUUGGCCAUAACUUUUUCAAUAUUGAAGAUAGGAACUUGAUAUUUGGCAUGCAUGUGUAUCUCAUAGAGCUGAACAUUUUGAGUGGUGAAAGGUGAAGGUCAAGGUCAUCCUUCAAGGUCACAGUGACUCGAAAUAGUAAAAUGGUUUCCGGAUGAUAACUCAAGAAUGCUUAUGCCUAGGAUCAUGAAACUUCAUAGGUACAUUGAUCAUGACUGGCAGAUGACCCCUAUUGAUUUUCAGGUCACUAGGUCAAAGGUCAAGGCCACAGUGACUCGAAACAGUAAAAUGGUUUCCUGAUGAUAACUCAAGAAUAAUUAGGCCUAGGAUCAUGAAACUUCAUAGGUAUAUUGAUCAUGACUGGCAGAUGACCCCUAUUGAUUUUCAGGUCACUAGGUCAAAGGUCAAGGUCACAGUGACAAAAAACGUAUUCACACAAUGGCUGCCACUACAACUGAUAGCCCAUAUGGGGGGGCAUGCAUGUUUUACAAACAGCCCUUGUUGAAAAUGGCGAGAAAAAAGCAACAGCUAAGCAAAGGAAAAAGCAAGAAGGAAACAAAUUCUUUCCGACAUAAAAUGUUUAACAUUCAAGGUUGAGAAGUUUGUUUUACUUAUAUUUGUUUAAUGUAUUAAAGUUAAUGCACAGGAUUUUUAUACAGUACUAAGUAAAGUGUAACUCUGAUGUCAAGAUUAAUUAGAAAAUCAAGAAUCUCUUCCUUCAAACCCAUUCUUACAAUGUGAUGAUCAUCAAUAAGGUAUAUUGACUUUGUUCAGUGUUAUAUUGUGUGAUUUGUGUACAAAUGUCUAGAAUUAAGACAAUAAAAUCGACAUAACAAAA